rnacentral:rRNA from 1 species
CCUACGGGAGGCAGCAGUGAGGCAUAUUGGUCAAUGGGCUUACGCCUGAACCAGCCAAGUCGCGUGAGGGAAGACUGCCCUAUGGGUUGUAAACCUCUUUUGUCAGGGAGCAACGCCGGCUACGUGUAGCCGGACUGAGCGUACCUGCAGAAAAAGCAUCGGCUAACUCCGUGCCAGCAGCCGCGGUAAUUCGGAGGAUGCGAGCGUUAUCCCGAUUUAUUGUGGUUCACGGGUGCGGAGGCGGAAUGCGAAGUCAGCGGGAAAAUCGCGGGGCUCAACCUCGCUCCGCCGUUGAAACUGGCGGUGUUGAGUGGGCGAGAAGUAUGCGGAAUGCGUGGUGUAGCGGUGAAAUGCAUAGAUAUCACGCAGAACUCCGAUUGCGAAGGCAGCAUACCGGCGCCCAACUGACGCUGAAGCACGAAAGCGUGGGUAUCGAACAGGAUUAGAUACCCUUGUAGUC